GGCAAGGAGGUAAAAAUG
rnacentral:misc_RNA from 1 species